CCUGAGAAACCUAAAAGUUCGAAAAGAGAGAUUCAACGUCAGUAUGUAUUGUAUUCACGUGAGUAGUGAUGUGAGUUUUUUAAUGAAAGGGUCAAACUUUUUAUUAAUACUUGCACAUUUUCAUGUUAUUUUAUUGCAAUACUAUUGCCGGCGUGCACUUCUCUCUUAGUAGGACGUCCCGACCCGUUGAGUCUUGGCCUACGGCGCAGAUGGGAGACUUUAAUAUUUCGGUAUUAAAGACCACUGAUGUACCCUGGCUAAAGUGCUCGACGGUAGUUAAUUGAUAUGGCGUUGAGCCGCAUUUUCGAAUGCGUCCAGCCAGUCGCAAGUAAUUGAUUUAUUCCGUAUUACUAUAGACUCUGUGCUAUGUAUAUGGUUAUUUCGCUUUGCAUGACUGUGCUUUAGGACUGGCUAUGUUCGUUUGUCAGGGACGCUUAGGCUUUGGGUACUCUCAGGACCCGUCUUGAAACACGGACCAAGGAGUCUAACAUGUACGCGAGUCAUUGGGUAUAUAUUUUCCUUCCAGGAAUUUAUAUAAAACAAACCUAAAGGCGUAAUGAAAGUAAAGGUUGAACCUAGUGUUUAACUUAGGGAUGAUGGGUUAUUAAUUUAUCCCCGCAAUCCCAGGGCAUCUUAAUCUCAUUGCGAGAUGAGGCGCACCUAG
rnacentral:rRNA from 1 species